GAUGAACGCUGGCGGCGUGCCUAAUACAUGCAAGUCGAGCGAAUGGAUUAAGAGCUUGCUCUUAUGAAGUUAGUGGCGAACGGGUGAGUAACACGUGAGUAACCUGCCCUUGACUCUGGGAUAACUGCGGGAAACUGUAGCUAAUACCGGAUACGACCCUCGGCGGCAUCGCCAGGGGGUGGAAAGAAUUUCGGUCAAGGAUGGACUCGCGGCCUAUCAGCUAGUUGGUGAGGUAACGGCUCACCAAGGCGACGACGGGUAGCCGGCCUGAGAGGGUGACCGGCCACACUGGGACUGAGACACGGCCCAGACUCCUACGGGAGGCAGCAGUGGGGAAUAUUGCACAAUGGGCGUAAGCCUGAUGCAGCAACGCCGCGUGAGGGAUGACGGCCUUCGGGUUGUAAACCUCUUUUAGUAGGGAAGAAGCGAAAGUGACGGUACCUGCAGAAAAAGCACCGGCUAACUACGUGCCAGCCGCCGCAGUAA
rnacentral:rRNA from 1 species